rnacentral:rRNA from 1 species
UGAACGCUGGCGGCGUGCUUAACACAUGCAAGUCGCACGAGAACGCUUCAGCUUGCUGAAGUUAGUAAAGUGGCGCACGGGUGAGUAACGCGUGGGUAAUCUACCCCCGAAUUGGGGAUAACAUCGCGAAAGCGAUGCUAAUACCGAAUGAUAUCUUGAAAACUCUGUUUUCUGGAUCAAAGAUGGCCUCUACAUGUAAGCUAUUGUUUGGGGAUGAGCCCGCGUACCAUUAGCUUGUUGGUAGGGUAAUGGCCUACCAAGGCAACGAUGGUUAGCUGGUCUGAGAGGAUGAUCAGCCACACUGGAACUGACACACGGUCCAGACUCCUACGGGAGGCAGCAGUGAGGAAUUUUGCGCAAUGGGGGAAACCCUGACGCAGCAACGCCGCGUGAGUGAUGAAGGCUUUCGGGUCGUAAAGCUCUGUCAAGUGGGAAGAAACCAUAUGGUGUUAAUAUCGCCAUAUGCUGACGGUACCAUUGAAGGAAGCACCGGCUAACUCC